GCCCGGAUGGUGGAAUCGGUAGACACAAGGGAUUAAUCCCUCGGCGCGCGCUGUGCGGGUUCAAGUCCCGCUCCGGGUACCA
rnacentral:tRNA from 1 species